UACGUAGGGUGCGAGCGUUACUCGGAAUUACUGGGCGUAAAGCGUGCGCAGGCGGUUCGUUGUGUCGGCGGUGAAAGCCCCGGGCUCAACCUGGGAAUGGCCGUUGAAACUGGCGAACUGGAGUGUGGCAGAGGGGGGUGGAAUUCCGCGUGUAGCAGUGAAAUGCGUAGAGAUGCGGAGGAACACCGAUGGCGAAGGCAGCCCCCUGGGCUGACACUGACGCUCAGGCACGAAAGCUAGGGGAGCAAACAGG
rnacentral:rRNA from 1 species